rnacentral:rRNA from 1 species
GAUGAACGCUGGCGGCGUGCCUAAUACAUGCAAGUCGAGCGAACAGACGAGGAGCUUGCUCCUCUGACGUUAGCGGCGGACGGGUGAGUAACACGUGGAUAACCUACCUAUAAGACUGGGAUAACUUCGGGAAACCGGAGCUAAUACCGGAUAAUAUAUUGAACCGCAUGGUUCAAUAGUGAAAGACGGUUUUGCUGUCACUUAUAGAUGGAUCCGCGCCGCAUUAGCUAGUUGGUAAGGUAACGGCUUACCAAGGCAACGAUGCGUAGCCGACCUGAGAGGGUGAUCGGCCACACUGGAACUGAGACACGGUCCAGACUCCUACGAGAGGCAGCAGUAGGGAAUCUUCCGCAAUGGGCGAAAGCCUGACGGAGCAACGCCGCGUGAGUGAUGAAGGUCUUCGGAUCGUAAAACUCUGUUAUUAGGGAAGAACAAAUGUGUAAGUAACGAUGCACGUCUUGACGGUACCUAAGCAGAAAGCCACGGCUAACUACGU